rnacentral:snRNA from 1 species
AUCACUUCUCAGCCUUUGGCUAAGAUCAAGUGCAGUAUCUGUUCAUAUAUUUAUUGAUUACCCACU